rnacentral:rRNA from 1 species
AUGGUCGCCUCCCGUCGUCGCUUUGAUCUCCUCGUAGAGCUUCUCCUGGAUUUCUGGGUUCUUGACCAGUUCGGCCAUGAUCCACUGCAGCCCGGUGGAGGUGGUGUCGGUCCCGGCGUUGAGAAAUUCGGAGCAGAGGAUGACCAUCUCGCUGUCGGUGAGCGGGCGGUCGCCCUCCUCGGGGAGCUUGAUGUCGAGAAGGGUGUCCACGUACGAGUGCUCGAACGUCGUCUCUUUCCUGGGCUUGCCGCCGCGGCUCUUGUACUCCCGCCGCGCGUUGAUCAGCGGCACGAGCAGCUCCUUCUGCCGCCGCCGCAUGGCGUGCGCGGUCCGGAGGCGGUCGCGGAAGAGGUGCUUUGUGAGCGACGGAAAGAAGGCGAAGACGGCCAUUUUCCUGGUGAUGUAGAGCAGCUGGUCGCGCUGCGCGGCGGCGAUCGCGCGCACCGCGGGCUCGUCGAGCCGCUCGCCGAAGCACAUGAGCACGAGGAGGCAGAACAUGGCGUACUGGAACGUCUCCACGACGGCCGCCCCGCCGGAGGGCGACUCGUCCCGCAGCUUGUCGAGGAGCACGCGGCGCACCCAGGAGCGCGCGGGCGCGAAGAGUCGGACGCGGGACGGGUGCAGCGUCUCGGAGACGAGGUUGCGGCGGAGGAGGCGCCACACGGGCCCGUAGCUGGCGCGCGUGAUGGUGUGGUCGUUCUCGCCCAUGAUCCUGACGGACGCGAGGGUCGGGCGGUCGGCCAGAGCGGCACCGCGCUCGACGAGGGCGGCGUGCGCGAGGCGGCGGUCGGCGACGAAGAUGGAGAGCCGGGAGCCCACGCGCAGCGACACGAUGGGACCGUACCGCGCGAACAGACGCCGGAGGAGGGACUCCCCGUCGGCGGGCGAGUUCGUCAGCCACACCAUACUGCCCAGCACCGGAAAGGACGGCGGGCCAGGCGGGAUGGGCCGCCGGGCGCCGCCGCCGGUCUUACCGCUGCGGAAAAGGAGGAGGGUCAGCGGGAGGGCGAAGAGGAUCACGCCGAAGAAGAUUCGCCAUGUCUCCAUGGCGCGUCUGAGUGCUGCUCCGCUUCCGCUCUCACUGGUGCUGGCGUGCCGUGUGGAUAA